rnacentral:rRNA from 1 species
GCCAGAAAGCUAGCUCAAACACCUUAAUAAAACUUACAAUCUACAUUAUUAUUCAUACACUCCAACACCUCCAAACAAACCAUUUAUCCACCCCAGUAUGGGCGACAAAAAAGGAUACUUAUGAAGCCAUAGAUAAAGUACCGCAGGGGAAAGCUGAAAAAGAAAUGAAAAAACUCAUCAAAGCAUAAAAAAGCAGAGAAUCCCCUCGUACCUUUUGCAUCAUGAUUCAGCCAGUAAAACACAUGCAAAGAGACCUCUAGUUUGUAACCCCGAAACCCGACGAGCUACUCCGAGACAGCCUACCCAGGGCCAACCCGUCUCUGUGCCAAAAGAGUGGGAAGAUCUCCGAGUAGAGCCAAAAGACCUACCGAGCCCGGGUUAUAGCUGGUUGCCCCGAUAAAUGAAUAAAAGUUCAGCCCCGUUAGGCCCAACUCGCAACAGUCACACAUUUAAAGACAAAGAGCCCCAAACGGGAGUUAAUCAGAGGAGGUACAGCUCCCCUGAUAAAGGAUACAACCUUAUAAAGGAGAAUAAGGAAUAUAAUAAACAAGGCCACAGAUCCCAGUAGGCCUAAAAGCAGCCACCUGCCUAGAAAGCGUUAAAGCUCAGAUCCAAUUAAACCUGUUAUCCUAUUAGACCUCUCCGAAAUCCCUCCUUCUACCGGGCCUCUCUAUGCUUCCAUAGAAGAGAUUAUGCUGAAAUGAGUAACAAGAAGAUUAAACUUCUCCUAGCACAAGUGUAAAUCGGACCGGACUAACCACCGAUAUUUAACGAACCCAACAACAGAGGGCCAUACACCACCGUCACCUAAACCAAGAAAAUCAUAUUUACUAAAUCGUUUCCCCCACACAGGAGUGCUCAACCAAGGAAAGACUAAAAGAAAAAAAAGGAACUCGGCAAACCUAAACCCCGCCUGUUUACCAAAAACACCGCCUCUUGCACACACAGUAUAAGAGGUCCCACCUGCCCUGUGACCAAAAAAGUUUAACGGCCGCGGUAUCCUAACCGUGCGAAGGUAGCGCAAUCAAUUGCCUUUUAAAUGAAGGCCUGUAUGAAUGGUAUAACGAGGGUUUAACUGUCUCUUUUUUCCAGUCAGUUAAAUUGAUCUACCCGUGCAGAAGCGGGUAUAAAAAUACAAGACGAGAAGACCCUAUGGAGCUUCAGACGCUAACCAAUUUACAAAAAGCAUUCCAAGCCAAACACAUCAAACGCUCGUAAAACUGGAACAACCGUCUUAGGUUGGGGCGACCACGGGAGAAAACAAAGCUCCCGAGCAGACCAGGGACACCCUGAAACCAAGAGUGACAACUCUAAGCCACAAAAACUUUGACUGAAAUGAUCCGGCCACAGCCGAUUAACGAACCAAGUUACCCUAGGGAUAACAGCGCAAUCCCCUCCCAGAGUCCAUAUCGACAAGGGGGUUUACGACCUCGAUGUUGGAUCAGGACAUCCUAAUGGUGCAGCCGCUAUUAAGGGUUCGUUUGUUCAACGAUUAAAGUCCUACGUGAUCUGAGUUCAGACCGGAGAAAUCCAGGUCGGUUUCUAUCUGUAAACAAUCACUCCUAGUACGAAAGGACCGGAAUGAAAAGGCCCAUACCACAAGCAAGCCUUCCACCUACCUGCUGAACACAACUAAAGCAGAAAAAGAUGAGUAACCUUUUGGCCCAAGAAAAAGGCCGUCUACAUUAUUCCGC